UGGGGAAUUAUGGACAAUGGGGGAAACCCUGAUCCUGCGACACCGCGUGACCGAUGAAGGCCAUAAGGUUGUAAAGGUCUUUUACCUAUGAAGAAAAAAAUGACGGUAAUAGGAGAAAAAGCACCGGCUAACUUCGUGCCAGCAGCCGCGGUAAUACGAAGGGUGCGAGUGUUGUUCGGAAUAACUGGGCGUAAAGGGUGCGUAGGCGGCUAAAUUAGUGAUGUGUGAAAUCCCCAAGCUCAACUUGGGAAGUGCGCAUCAUACUUUUUAGCUUGAGUACGAUAGAGGAAACAGGAAUUCCUAGUGUAGGGGUGAAAUUCACAGAUAUUAGGAGGAACACCAAAAGCGAAAGCAAGUUUCUGGGUCGUCACUGACGCUGAGGCACGAAAGCGUGGGGAGCAAACAGG
rnacentral:rRNA from 1 species